ACUUUUAAUCAAUAUUUAAAAAUAACUAUUGUUUGUACUUGCUAGAACUUAGUAUGUCUAGUGUGAUGGAAUUAAUGAACAAUAUAACUAGAGAUCAGAAUAUAAUUAUACUAGGAAAAUAACGAAUUUUAUCUAAAUUAGAACUACUCGAAAUUAAUUCUAAAACUGGAAGAUAGAAUUAUUCAGGUUCAUCUAUAGUUUUGAAUUCAAUUUUCUAUGACUAUUUCCCUAUGUAAACUUCAAUAAUGUUUUUAGGAGUUGAACAAAUGAUUGAUCGUGAUACAUCAUUUGUAGAUAAACUAGUAUGGAAACUAGUAUGGAAAUAAUGUAUACAUAAAUACAUUAAUACAACUUUGAAUACAACUUUGNAAUUUUCUAUGAACAUUUCCCUAUGUAAAAUUCAAUAAUGUUUUUAGGAGUUGAACAAAUGAUUGAUCGUGAUACAUCAUUUGUAGAUAAACUAGUAUGGAAAUAAUAUAUACAUAAAUACAUUAAUACAACUUUGAUAGCUAAAUUUUUCAUUCAAUUUGUUCAUACCUAUCUUCUUGAACAGGAGUGUUUUAUAAAAAACAUUGGUUGAUGCAAUUUGAAAAAUCAUAUAAAAAGAAUAUUAGGUAAAAUGUUUAAUUAAUAAUCAUGCUAAAAAAUGUACAUUGACUGGAAGAGGCAAAGGUAUAACAACUGCAAUUGGCAGUUCUGAGAUUUUCAAAAUCAUUAAAAGUAUGAACAUUUAUAANAGUAGAAUUUGGUUUUUUUUUCUUUUAGCUUUACGAGCCAUUUAGGCUUUUAACUGCUUAGGGUAAAUCUUUCCGUUUUCCUCUAUCCCUUGAUAUGUUUUAGUUUAUUUAUUGUAAUUGUGUAAGUUCCAUUAUAGUCCCCAUAUGCUGUCCACCGUGGUCUUGUUCCUUCCAUUUCUUCACUUAUAAUUCUCUUCAUUUAUCUUCCAUCUGCUCGCUAAACAUGUCCCAUUCCAUUCCGAUUUGGUUGUAUGGCUA